CAGUCCUCCUCCUGCCGUUGCCGAGCUCCGUCCCGUCCGCUCGCUCGUAAUCAAUAUGAACACGCACACGCCUCCCGUCACCUCGCCAGGACUCACCACCGAGGUCUGCACCGCUACUUGCGACACCCACACAUCGGAGCCUCAGAAGAUGCCGAAAAAAAACCACCUCGCCAAGCAGGAGCGAACGGGAGAUUCCAAGGGUGGUGGUGCUGGUGGUGGUCUUAAUAUUUCCGAUGUUCUGUACCUGACCGAUGUGGACUCCGAGGCCCUGUGUCUCCACCCCCUCCACCAGCAGUGACAGGACCAUUCACCACCACGUCCUGUCCGUCACACUGACCAGGAUCCGAGCGUAAGUUCGCACGAGUAAGUGAAGACAACAGCCACGAAGGUGGAGCAUCCAGUAGCCGUCGUGUGUCAAGUGCCUUACAGACGCCCAAUGUAGAGGGAGAAAAACUGAGCCUGGGAAUUCUGUUCACCGAGAAAAAUUAUUGACACCUGAAGAGACCGUAAUAUAUGCGAACCGUGUACAGCGUCCCAGGGGCGUGAAGGGUCACCAAAGAACCUGGAAAUGGGCAAGACUCAUACACCAAAUGCAGUUUUUAGUUCGCCCUCCGCCAGUGUAUCACCGAUUCUUAACUGGAAUCCCACUUGACCGCUGCCUUCCACUGGACAUCGCUGUCUUCCAUCUAGUGCCGCUGUCUCCCUCCAGGAACCACUCUCCCAACUGUCCUGUUGUCUACUCUUGGCGGCGGUCCUCGUGUGCAUGGCCACUUUCUUAUCAUGUUUUAACUCGUUGGCGGAAUUAUAGACUUUCUCCCUUGUGUGUCCGAUUUUCGCACGAUAUCUUUAAAAUUUUGUGAAAAGACUUUAAUGAAAUUCUGAAAAAAAGGUGGAUCUAGGGCCUAGCAACAAUGGAUAAGCAUUUGAUACGGAUGUGAUAUGUAGGCUUCUGUGGUUCCAAGUCGCUUUCAAACUAACUAUAAUUUCCCAAAACCAAGAGGCGGAAGAGAAUAUUAAAGUUUUGUUUGGGUCAACGAAAAUACUUGCUACUUAGUACAUCAUUAUGUAGCGUUGACUGAAGUAUGCGCUCUUCGAGUGCCUUCUAGUUGUAUGUGUUGUAUGCCCUCAGCAAUCACGUCUUCCUAUCCGCGUCCUCUCAUCUAGGAAUACCAUCUUUCGGAUAUCGCUAGUUUUCCUCGCCUGCCGAAGGCCGCCGCCUUUCUGCCUCCAAGUUUCAUGCCGUGCUUCCAAGAGAUCUUCCAUCGAAUGUUUAGUGUAUAUCAAGAGAGGAAAUGAGAUUUACCUUUCACUUUGAAGUUAUUCCUUCCAAACUGGGACGCUGAACAAAACUAAGCUUGAUAUUCACUAUGAAGUAACUAACUUCACUUGUUAUGUACAGAACUGCACUGUCACUGUGAGUCGUCAUUGUUAUAUGUGCAUGAAAUUAGAUCACUUGGAUUGUCUCCAAGCCUGAUUCCUGAUGUGAACCUGUGUAUUGCGCAAUAAAGAAAAAUAUACUUAGAAAACCUGA